rnacentral:rRNA from 1 species
GGGAUGGACGCUGGCGGCGUGCCUAAUACAUGCAAGUAGAACGCUGAAGCUUGGUGCUUGCACCGAGCGGAUGAGUUGCGAACGGGUGAGUAACGCGUAGGUAACCUGCCUCUUAGCGGGGGAUAACUAUUGGAAACGAUAGCUAAUACCGCAUAAAAGACGAUAUCGCAUGAUAUUGAUUUGAAAGGUGCAAUUGCAUCACUAAGAGAUGGACCUGCGUUGUAUUAGCUAGUUGGUGAGGUAACGGCUCACGAGGCGACGAUACAUAGGCCGACUGGAGGAGGGUGAGUCCGGCCACGACGUGGGACUGGACGACACGGCCCAGACCUCGUACGGGAGCAGCAGGUAGGAUCGUCGGCACGUGGGCACCGUCGACCGAGACCGACGCCGCGUAGAGUAGAAGUAAGGUUUCGGAAUCGGUAAG